rnacentral:misc_RNA from 1 species
AAGUCGUAACAAGGUAUCCGUAGGUGAACCUGCGGAUGGAUCAUUAACGAAGUUUCCACUUCAACGUAUGUGAACUGUUUUGAAAUUGCUUUGCCCGGCGGCAUCGGCUAGUCCGUUGCCAUCGGGUAGAGUAUACCAACGUAUUAAACCUAAAACUGACGUCUACUUUAGUAGUAUAUAAACUAAAGACAACUUUUAGCAACGGAUCUCUUGGCUCUC